rnacentral:rRNA from 1 species
GAAUCUUCCGCAAUGGACGAAAGUCUGACGGAGCAACGCCGCGUGAGUGAUGAAGGAUUUCGGAUCGUAAAGCUCUGUCCGUGGGGAAGAAGGCGGCCAUUACAGGCGACCUGACGGUACCCAAGGAGGAAGCCCCGGCUUACUACGUGCCAGAAGCCGCGGUAAUACGUAGGGGGCAAGCGUUGUCCGGAAUUAUUGGGCGUAAAGGGUGCGUAGGCGGACUUUUAAGUCAGAUGUGAAAGACCACGGCUUAACCGUUGGUUGCAUUUGAAACUGGAGGGCUUGAGUAUCGGAGAGGGUAGUGGAAUUCCCAGUGUAGCGGUGGAAUGCGUAGAUAUUGGGAGGAACACCAGUGGCGAAGGCGACUACCUGGACGAAAACUGACGCUGAGGCGCGAAAGCGUGGGGAGCAAACA